GAUGCAAACUAUUCCAUUUAGAAUGGAUAAACAAUGAGACCCUGCUGUACAGCACAGGGAACUCUGCCCAGUCUCUUGGGAUAGAACACAAUGGAAGAGAGUAAGAAAAAAAGAAUGUGGAUGCGUGUGUGUGUGUGUGUGUGUGUGUGUGACUGGGUCACUAUGCCAAAUGGCAGAAAUUGGCACAGCAUUGUAAAUCAAUUAUACUUUAAUUUUUCUAAUUUUUUAAAAUUAAAAAAAAAAGAACCUAUAACUUCUUGACUGUGAGGACGCCGUUGUCAGGAAGGCAUUCUGAUUAUCGCUGUUUCCCAGUUAGGGGACCCCCGGAACUGGGAAAUCCACGGCCAUGAACAGGUGGACACACUCAGCGGGGGAGGCAGGCUUGGGACUCAGGGACUCCACGCCCGAGCAUGUGAAGCCACGCUACCCCCUCAAAUACUUACCUAAACGCGUCCAUGGUUUUCAACAUCCUGUUCCUGAAGGUUCGUUUUAACCAUGGCAUUUGUUUCUUUUUAUUACAAAAGGUGUUUUCAUGUUAAAUAAGGGGAAAUACGUAUUCACUUUUAACUUUGUGGUUUAUGACUUUUAUUGCUUUCUAGAGUGUUUUCUGGGUACAAGAAUGUGUGUGUGUGUAAACCUUUGUUAAAUACAUCAUUUUGCAGAAUGGAGGCUCCCCCUCUUUCUGACCUGCACCCGGAGAGCCUGUUCUUGCUCAGGGGUGGCACAGAGUGAAUACACAGCGGCCAGAGGCAAAGGCCUGAGUUUAGGGACGGUCUGGAGAUCCAGCAGCACCGAGUGGUGCUUACACCUGCUUAAAACUAAGUGAGGUGCCGAGGCUCCCACCCACCCCGCCGCCACCCGGCACCCCACUGGUCCAGGAGCUGCAGUGUCCCCAGGAAUGGGAGGGGCAGGAAGCAGGGUCCAAGGGCCUGCCCAGGUCAUCAGGUGCAAUCCCUUCUCCCACCCCUCUCAACAAUGCCUCCCGGAAGCCUCAUCCCACGUUCCGCCUCCCGCCACCUGCCCACUCAGCUGGCUGAUUUCCUCCUCUCUGUUCCCCUCAUUUCUGAAGCCUCCUCCGACCUUGACAGUGAGAAGUAGUUCCGCCUUUAGCUCACUCGCCAGUGCCCCCCACCCCCAACCCCACAGGACACAGGUUGGGGGUCUGAGCUGCUGCCCACUGGGCCCACUGACCCUACCUCAUCCUUCUCAGGUGGGACUCACAGAAGCGACUCUGGAGGAAGCAGCUGACGAGGGCGUUGACUUUCCCCAAAGACCUCUGUACCCCAAGGUCACAGAACCUGCCCGUUAUUUGUCCUCAUCCCAGGGCUCAUGGACCAAAGGUCACAGCAGAAGAGCAGCAACCUGGGGCUGUGGACCGGAACCAAGGAAGCGCCCACUUCUGUGCCUUUAUUACAGAAAUUGCGGCUUGUUGAUGUCAAGCUGACACCCAGAGAGAUUCCAGGACAAGUGGGGGGAGGGGUUGUGGGAGGGGCAGGAUGGGUGGGGGAGGGGAAGAGCUGCCUCCCAUCACGCACUGACCAGCCUGAGUCGUGAGGACGGGGACAGGAAGCAUGGGUGGGGAUGUUGCUUGCUCUGUCACCCCUCCCACACGUGAUGUCACCACCUCUCAGCUGUCACUCACUCGAGUGCAUCCAGGGCUUUGAGCAGAGCUGGAGAGGAAGGCAGCAGAUCUGCUCUCAGGGGGGCUGGGACCCUGGGCACAAAAAGGCAGCUGGGUGCCAGCAGAGGGGCCCUGAGACCACUCCCCACCCCAGACCUGCAGCAGGUGGAACCAGGCAGCUGAGGAUCAAAUCCCAGCCUGAGACGGGCCAGUGGGGAAGACUGGAGCGAGUUCCUUAAAUCCUCAAGACCCCAGCAUCUGCAUCCAGAACCAGGGGCGUUCAGUUAAGUUCCUCCUCUGUGUCCUCUCCCCAAAGCCGCAGCAACGCUCCCUAUUUUUAUCUGAUUUUUCCAGGUUGAAGACUUCCUUUGGCUUUUACUUAAAUACUCAUUCAGGGGAAUUUCUGCUGUGGUGCGCUGGGUUAAGAAUUCGACUGCAGUGGAGGGUUCAAUCCCCAGAGUUCCCAUCAUGACUCAGCAGGUGAAGAACCUGACUAGUAUCCAUGAGGAUGCCGGUUCGAUCCCCGGCCUCGCUCAGUGGGUUAAGGAUCUGGCGUUGCCGUGAGCUGUGGUGUAGGUCGCAGACGUGGCUCGGAUCCCCCAUUGCUGUGGCUGUGGUGUAGGUGGGCAGCUGCUGCUCCA
rnacentral:lncRNA from 1 species